rnacentral:tRNA from 1 species
AAUAGUUUAGCUAAGUGGUCUAAGGCACCAAAUUUAGGCUCUGGUAUGAAAGUGUGUGGGUUCAAAUCCCACAAUUGUCA